AUAAACUUGAGAGUUUGAUCAUGGCUCAGAAUGAACGCUGGCGGCAUGCCUAACACAUGCAAGUCGAACGAGAUC
rnacentral:rRNA from 1 species